AAACAAGUGGGGGUCAUAGCUUCCGUGAGCCCCAAAUCAAAUAUAUAUAACCAAAAACUUAGGUUAUAACUAUGUUUGAUCUUUAAGAGCAAUCUCCAAAACCAAUUCCGUAUCGGCCGUCGCUGCAGCGUCCGGCAGAAAUCCAAAUCGAUGGAGUUUUGAUUGUUGUUGUUUCAAUCCUGAUCUGCUCGAGUGAAUAGCUGCUGCAACAGGCGAAAAUCGAAGUUAAUCGAGUUGAUCGCUCUUGUUUCACUCAGGAAUCUGUUCGAGUCCAAUCGCAUCGAACAAAGCCCUAGACGAACAUAAAGGCCUUCCCAAACUCGGUUUCUGAGCAAGAUCCAACUGCUCCUAAUGCCUCAAUCAAAUAGUUUUUUCAAACGGAGAUGACACCGAGCGGUCACAUAGCGGAGUGGAUAUCGCAUUAGACUCCGGAUCUAAAGGUCGUGGGUUCGAAUCCCACUGUGAUCGCAUCUUUUUCCCAUUUUCAUUUUGAAUCAAUAAUAAAUCAAUAAAUAAUAAAACUUUAUUCUCUA